GACGAACGCUGGCGGCGUGCUUAACACAUGCAAGUCGAACGGAAAGGCCCUGCUUUUGUGGGGUGCUCGAGUGGCGAACGGGUGAGUAACACGUGAGUAACCUGCCCUUGACUUUGGGAUAACUUCAGGAAACUGGGGCUAAUACCGGAUAGGAGCUCCUGCUGCAUGGUGGGGGUUGGAAAGUUUCGGCGGUUGGGGAUGGACUCGCGGCUUAUCAGCUUGUUGGUGGGGUAGUGGCUUACCAAGGCUUUGACGGGUAGCCGGCCUGAGAGGGUGACCGGCCACAUUGGGACUGAGAUACGGCCCAGACUCCUACGGGAGGCAGCAGUGGGGAAUAUUGCACAAUGGGCGGAAGCCUGAUGCAGCAACGCCGCGUGCGGGAUGACGGCCCUCGGGUUGUAAACCGCUUUCGCCUGUGACGAAGCGUGAGUGACGGUAAUGGGUAAAGAAGCACCGGCUAACUACGUGCCAGCAGCCGCGGUGAUACGUAGGGUGCGAGCGUUGUCCGGAUUUAUUGGGCGUAAAGGGCUCGUAGGUGGUUGAUCGCGUCGGAAGUGUAAUCUUGGGGCUUAACCCUGAGCGUGCUUUCGAUACGGGUUGACUUGAGGAAGGUAGGGGAGAAUGGAAUUCCUGGUGGAGCGGUGGAAUGCGCAGAUAUCAGGAGGAACACCAGUGGCGAAGGCGGUUCUCUGGGCCUUUCCUGACGCUGAGGAGCGAAAGCGUGGGGAGCGAACAGGCUUAGAUACCCUGGUAGUCCACGCUGUAAACGGUGGGUACUAGGUGUGGGGUCCAUUCCACGGGUUCCGUGCCGUAGCUAACGCUUUAAGUACCCCGCCUGGGGAGUACGGCCGCAAGGCUAAAACUCAAAGGAAUUGACGGGGCCCCGCACAAGCGGCGGAGCAUGCGGAUUAAUUCGAUGCAACGCGUAGAACCUUACCUGGGUUUGACAUGGAUCGGGAGUGCUCAGAGAUGGGUGUGCCUCUUUUGGGGUCGGUUCACAGGUGGUGCAUGCCUGUCGUCAGCUCGUGUCGUGAGAUGUUGGGUUAAGUCCCGCAACGAGCGCAACCCUUGUUCACUGUUGCCAGCACGUUAUGGUGGGGACUCAGUGGAGACCGCCGGGGUCAACUCGGAGGAAGGUGGGGAUGACGUCAAGUCAUCAUGCCCCUUAUGUCCAGGGCUUCACGCAUGCUACAAUGGCUGGUACAGAGAGUGGCGAGCCUGUGAGGGUGAGCGAAUCUCGGAAAGCCGGUCUCAGUUCGGAUUGGGGUCUGCAACUCGACCUCAUGAAGUCGGAGUCGCUAGUAAUCGCAGAUCAGCAACGCUGCGGUGAAUACGUUCCCGGGGCU
rnacentral:rRNA from 1 species